AUUGAACGCUGGCGGCAGGCCUAACACAUGCAAGUCGAACGGUAACAGGAAGAAGCUUGCUUCUUUGCUGACGAGUGGCGGCCGGGUGAGUAAUGUCUGGGAAACUGCCUGAUGGAGGGGGAUAACUACUGGAAACGGUAGCUAAUACCGCAUAACGUCGCAAGACCAAAAAGGGGGACCUUCGGGCCUCUUGCCAUCGGAUGUGCCCAGAUGGGAUUAGCUAGUAGGUGGGGUAACGGCUCACCUAGGCGACGAUCCCUAGCUGGUCUGAGAGGAUGACCAGCCACACUGGAACUGAGACACGGUCCAGACUCCUACGGGAGGCAGCAGUGGGGAAUAUUGCACAAUGGGCGCAAGCCUGAUGCAGCCAUGCCGCAUGUAUGAAGAAGGCCUUCGGGUUGUAAAGUACUUUCAGCGGGGAGGAAGGGAGUAAAGUUAAUACCUUUGCUCAUUGACGUUACCCGCAGAAGAAGCACCGGCUAACUCCGUG
rnacentral:rRNA from 1 species